CUACCAGGCCGGAGUUGGGGGCGAACUGCUGACCGGUCUGAAGCUCUUCUUCCACAGACUCUAAACGCAAAGUGGACAUAAGGUCGACGGAAAAUAAACAGCUUGAUAGAAAAGGAAAAAAAAAAUCUAGAAUCUUCGCUCUAAAGAAGAGAAAAUAGAUGGUAAUUCUCUGGAUAUAGGCUCUGUAGGUGUCUGAUAAAGUGAAGAGGUUUGUGUUUUAUUGGAGCAUGUGAUUCUGCAUACUUGUACUGAAGAUGGCAGUGAAUUUGUGGAAGCAUAUUGCAGAUUACAUGAGAUUAACUACUUAUUUCAACACACAGUGUCAGAAUCCAACCUGUAACACAUACAAUACGAGUUAAAUUCCAGAGGGAGAUCAAUGAUGAAAGGACCUGAAUGUUACUCUGGUCAUGAUCAGCCAGCUAUAAUCGUGUAUGAGGGCUACACAUGAGAGAAAAGUAGAGCAAGAAGACAGAGGGACUCUGCAUCUGUGGAAAAUUUUUGGAGAAGUAGCCUAAUUCUUUCUGGACCAUUCACCAACCCCUGAACUGUUAUGAAUGGCAUCUGAUGAGCCAGUGAGCACAAAAACAAGAUAAAGGUCAAUAACAUUGCAGUGCAAUCCACCAAUCAUACAAAUGUCAGAUUUGGAAGACCAAUGUUGUAACUUUAAGUGCCAAAGAAAACUCUGAAAUCAGCAUACUUGAGUGUGAUCUGUAAACUGACAUAAAUGUAAUGCAUGGAUCUUAAAUUAUUUCAAGAGUUAAUAUAUUUUGAAGAUGUGUUAUGCAUAUUAUAAGUCAUAAAAAUAAUCUUGAAACCCUGAAAGGUUUUAUUUUAAAAAAAGCUAAUCAAGUGAAAAUUUUAGAAAUCCCACAGAAGACCAUAUACUAAAAUUAACUAACAUAACAUUUAUAUGCUAUAUAAUAGCAUAUAUUUUAAUUUGAUAACACCCUUUAGGGUUAAAUUCAAUGAGUUGAGUUUCAAUGAAGGAAGUUGAGUUUUAGGGGGACUUGAAAGAUUAUGGCUAGAACUGUAUUUGGAGAUAGACACAUGCAUAGACCGUAUUCUGCAGUACUACAUCAACAUGACUUUUAGCUAAAAACAAGAUACUCCACAAAAAGAAAACAUUGCUUCCUCUUAAAUAGUCCAAAAAGAAAUCACACACACAAAAAACAGCCCAAAUCAACUGCCAAGAUCUUAUACUUAGAAAAUGCAAAAACCACUUUCCUUUUGUUAGAAAAAAAAGUCACUCUAACACAUGUUCCCUUUAGAAGAGUCUCUUUGUUAUGUGAUUCUUACUGUCAACCUGUUGAAAAAAUGAAAUAGUGUAUUUUCUGUUCUCCGAUUGCAUCAUUCAUUGGUUUGGGAUUUUUUCAAGAUGUGGAAGAUAGUAGGGUAUCAUUUAAGUAAUCACCUUUCUCAGACAUGUUUGUUGAUGUCCUUUGAUUUGUAUUAAUAGUAUCCAAAUUGAAACUUUAUUCAUCAUGAAACAAACAUCAACACAAACCUUUGCUACAGACCUGGUGUCUGAUGUCCCUGAGUGGACCCAAAUGCCUCCAACCUUUGUACUCAGCACACUGUAUCUGCUCAUUCCCUAAAGCAAAGGGGUUUUCUUGACCUCUAAUUUAUACCCCACAGCCAACAUAUAUGGGGUCUUUACACCUGUGUUUGCCUUUUCAAGCUCUCUCACUUGAGAGCACAAAAUUUUCCAAAGAGCUUCAAGAACUGGUUGGGUAUUACUUCUACCAAAGCACAUUUUCUAAAACUUUUCAACAGGUGACUACCUUUGCUAUAUUUAAGACUUGUAUACUUUUAUAUAUCUUUCACCAAGUGAUACCUUUGGAUGCUCUGAUCUGGAAGACCAUUCCCAAAAGAAACCAGUCAAUCCCACAACUAGGUUGAUUUAUCUCAGAUUCAGCCUUAAUCUUCCUCAGAUUAUUCUAUUUCCAUACUAUUUUGCCUCACAGGCAAGGACACACAGGACACAAUAAUAUGUGUCUAGGAUUCAAAAACACUUGGGCCACGUUUCCAUAUUGAGUCUUUGUCUUGUAGUAUUGUCUAAUUUGUCUGUUUACAAAUAUGUUAUGUCUCUACCAUGGGCUUCUCUAGGGUAGAGAUAUCUUUAUCCCUUAGUAUCCACAUGAUGUAAGAGACAAUGCAGUGAGUAUUUAAUAAACUAUUAAAAAGA